rnacentral:rRNA from 1 species
AUGGAACGCUGGCGGCAUGCCUUACACAUGCAAGUCGAACGGCAGCACGGGGCAACCUGGUGGCGAGUGGCGAACGGGUGAGUAAUGCAUCGGAACGUACCUUUCAGUGGGGGAUAACGUAGCGAAAGUUACGCUAAUACCGCAUAUUCUGUGAGCAGGAAAGCAGGGGAUCGCAAGACCUUGCGCUGAUUGAGCGGCCGAUGUCAGAUUAGCUAGUUGGUGAGGUAAAGGCUCACCAAGGAGACGUUCUGUAGCGGGUCUGAGAGGAUGAUCCGCCACACUGGAACUGAGACACAGUCCAGACUCCUACGGGAGGCAGCAGUGGGGAAUUUUGGACAAUGGGGGGAACCCUGAUCCAGCCAUGCCGCGUGAGUGAAGAAGGCCUUCGGGUUGUAAAGCGCUUUCGGCCGGGAAGAAAUCGCACGAGCUAAUACCCUGUGUGGAUGACGGUACCGGAAUAAGAAGCACCGGCUAACUACGUGCCAGCCGCCGCAGUAAAAC